rnacentral:rRNA from 1 species
GAUGAACGCUGGCGGCGUGCCUAAUACAUGCAAGUCGAGCGAACAGAUGAGGAGCUUGCUCCUCUGACGUUAGCGGCGGACGGGUGAGUAACACGUGGAUAACCUACCUAUAAGACUGGGAUAACUUCGGGAAACCGGAGCUAAUACCGGAUAAUAUAUUGAACCGCAUGGUUCAAUAGUGAAAGACGGUUUUGCUGUCACUUAUAGAUGGAUCCGCGCCGCAUUAGCUAGUUGGUAAGGUAACGGCUUACCAAGGCAACGAUGCGUAGCCGACCUGAGAGGGUGAUCGGCCACACUGGAACUGAGACACGGUCCAGACUCCUACGGGAGGCAGCAGUAGGGAAUCUUCCGCAAUGGGCGAAAGCUUGACGGAGCAACGCCGCGUGAGUGAUGAAGGACUUCGGAUCGUAAAACUCUGUUAUUAGGGAAGAACAAAUGUGUAAGUAACUAUGCACGUCUUGACGGUACCUAAUCAGAAAGCCACGGCUAACUACGUG